UACGGAGGGUGCAAGCGUUAUCCGGAUUCACUGGGUUUAAAGGGUGCGUAGGUGGGUUGGUAAGUCAGUGGUGAAAUCCCCGAGCUUAACUUGGGAACUGCCAUUGAUACUAUCAAUCUUGAAUACUGUGGAGGUCAGCGGAAUAUGUCAUGUAGCGGUGAAAUGCUUAGAUAUAACAUAGAACACCAAUUGCGAAGGCAGCUGGCUACACAAAUAUUGACACUGAGGCACGAAAGCGUGGGGAUCAAACAGG
rnacentral:rRNA from 1 species